AGGCAGCUCCCAAAAUCCCCAAUCCCAAACCCUAAAUUUGCAAGGAGCCAGGCGGCGGCGUGCGUUGCAGCGGCACUCGGCAGGCGCGGCGUGCGUUGCGGCAGGCCGGCGGCGGGCGCGGCGUGCGGCGGCGGCGAGCCGGCGACCGCGGGGCAGCAAGCCAGGCAGGGGCAGCCGCCGGCUGGGCGCACCAUUGCAGCCGCAGCGGCUGUCGGCCGAGCAGGCGCAGUGCGUCGGUGUCGCCGGCUCGUUGACUCAAGGGACGGGCCGCGCGACGCUGUGGCCUGUCCGCCUGUGGGGCGUGCCGGCGUGGGCGGCUGGACGCCGAGCCACCUUCCCCUUCCGCCGACGCCUGACGACCGAGCGGGCGCGCCGCCUUCCCCUUCCGCCGGACCAGGCUCGAGCGAUGGGCUGCGCGGUGCUGUGGGGCGUGUCGGCGUGGGCGGCUGGGCGCCGAGCCGCCUCCCCUUCCGCUGAUGACCGAGGCCAGGUGCUGAGGCGCCACUCGCUGACGCCGAGACGCCGACAGGCCACACCGCCACAACACUGCCACCACGCACAGAAUUGGCAGUCGGAUUUGACACUUAAGGAUCUACAAACAUCGCCUCACACGCUACUCUCCUGUUGAUGUGCGCACCGAUGCCGUGAGGCAAGAGAAGUUUAUGUUUGGUCUUAAUGAUGAACUAACCAACCAGGUCAUCUAUGGAGAUUAUACUGAUUUUGAGAAGCUAUUUGACAAGUUGAUUUGUCAGGAGGAUCAGCGCAACCAGAUGGAUCGCAAAAGAAAGGGAGCUUAGUUCAGGGCGCGUCAGGGGAACAACCAAAAGCCUCGCUUCAUGACUGAUAAAUUUUUAAGUUUAGAUCAGCCAUGCAAAGAUGAUAAUUCUUCUAAUUUUAGUAAAAUUUUAGGCUUGAUAGAAAUUGAAUCUGUGAUGUGUUAAUUUGUGGAUGAACAAUUGAAAUUCCGGCACGAAGCAGUGAACUGGCUGUUGACGGCUGUUAAAUACCAAAUUCUCGCCGUCAAUACC